CCUUCAUGAAGCUGGAAUUGCUAGUAAUGGCAGGUCAGCAUACUGCCGUGAAUACGUUCCCGGGCCUUGUACACACCGCCCGUCACACCAUGAGAGUUGGAAAUACCCGAAGCCUGUGAGCUAACUGUAAAGAGGCAGCAGUCGAAGGUAGAGCCAAUGAUUGGGGUGAAGUCGUAACAAGGUAUC
rnacentral:rRNA from 1 species